rnacentral:rRNA from 1 species
UGGCCAGACUCCUACGGGAGGCAGCAGUGGGGAAUAUUGCGCAAUGGGCGAAAGCCUGACGCAGCGACGCCGCGUGAGGGAUGAAGGUCUUCGGAUCGUAAACCUCUGCCAGCAGGGAAGAACGGUCACUGUGCUAAUCAGCAGUGAAUUGACGGUACCUGCAAAGGAAGCACCGGCUAACUACGUGCCAGCAGCCGCGGUAAUACGUAGGGGGCAAGCGUUAUCCGGAUUUACUGGGUGUAAAGGGAGCGUAGACGGCAAUACAAGUCGGAAGUGAAAUACCCGGGCUCAACCUGGGAACUGCUUUGGAAACUGUAUGGCUAGAGUGCUGGAGAGGUAAGCGGAAUUCCUAGUGUAGCGGUGAAAUGCGUAGAUAUUAGGAGGAACACCAGUGGCGAAGGCGGCUUACUGGACAGUAACCGACGUUGAGGCUCGAAAGCGUGGGGAGCAAACAGGAUUAGAUACCCUCGUA